AGUUAUAGUUUGAAGCAACUGUUUGGGAUCGAGGACUUAUUUAUCGCACUAUGGGGAAUGGCAGAACGUACACGAGAGGACUGUGCAUCACUUUCAAUGUCCUGCUUCUGGUAUCUGGGGUAUUUCUGUUUGUAGUUGGGGUUUCAUACAGCUUCCAACACCCUCCUGAGUUUGACCAUCGGAGUACCCUCCAUGAGAUGUACGUACAAAAUGUGUUUGGACCCAUUACUGUACUGUUCUCCAUCCUGGGAGGCUACGCUGCCUACAGAGACAAGAGAAUACUG